rnacentral:rRNA from 1 species
UGGGGAAUAUUGGACAAUGGGCGAAAGCCUGAUCCAGCCAUGCCGCGUGUGUGAAGAAGGUCUUCGGAUUGUAAAGCACUUUAAGUUGGGAGGAAGGGCAUUAACCUAAUACGUUAGUGUUUUGACGUUACCGACAGAAUAAGCACCGGCUAACUCUGUGCCAGCAGCCGCGGUAAUACAGAGGGUGCAAGCGUUAAUCGGAAUUACUGGGCGUAAAGCGCGCGUAGGUGGUUUGUUAAGUUGGAUGUGAAAUCCCCGGGCUCAACCUGGGAACUGCAUUCAAAACUGACUGACUAGAGUAUGGUAGAGGGUGGUGGAAUUUCCUGUGUAGCGGUGAAAUGCGUAGAUAUAGGAAGGAACACCAGUGGCGAAGGCGACCUCCUGGACUAAUACUGACACUGAGGUGCGAAAGCGUGGGGAGCAAACA